rnacentral:rRNA from 1 species
CCUACGGGUGGCAGCAGUGAGGAAUAUUGGUCAAUGGACGAGAGUCUGAACCAGCCAAGUAGCGUGAAGGAUGAAUGCCCUACGGGUUGUAAACUUCUUUUAUAUGGGAAUAAAACGUUCCACGUGUGGGAUUUUGUAUGUACCAUAUGAAUAAGGAUCGGCUAACUCCGUGCCAGCAGCCGCGGUAAUACGGAGGAUCCGAGCGUUAUCCGGAUUUAUUGGGUUUAAAGGGAGCGUAGGUGGAUUGUUAAGUCAGUUGUGAAAGUUUGCGGCUCAACCGUAAAAUUGCAGUUGAAACUGGCAGUCUUGAGUACAGUAGAGGUGGGCGGAAUUCGUGGUGUAGCGGUGAAAUGCUUAGAUAUCACGAAGAACUCCGAUUGCGAAGGCAGUUCACUGGACUGCAACUGACACUGAGGCUCGAAAGUGUGGGUAUCAAACAGGAUUAGAUACCCCUGUAGUC